rnacentral:rRNA from 1 species
ACGGCUCAGUAACACGUGGAUAACCUACCCUUAGGACCGGGAUAACCUUGGGAAACUGAGGAUAAUACUGGAUAGGCAAUUAUUCCUGUAAUGGUUUUUUGUUUAAAUGUUUUUUCGCCUAAGGAUGGGUCUGCGGCCGAUUAGGUAGUUGGUUAGGUAAUGGCUUACCAAGCCGUUGAUCGGUACGGGUUGUGAGAGCAAGAGCCCGGAGAUGGAACCUGAGACAAGGUUCCAGGCCCUACGGGGUGCAGCAGGCGCGAAACCUCCGCAAUGUGAGAAAUCGCGACGGGGGGAUCCCAAGUGCCAUUCUUAACGGGAUGGCUUUUCAUUAGUGUAAAGAGCUUUUGGAAUAAGAGCUGGGCAAGACCGGUGCCAGCCGCCGCGGUAACACCGGCAGCUCUAGUGGUAACAAUUUUUAUUGGGCCUAAAGCGUCCGUAGCCGGUUUAAUAAGUCUCUGGUGAAAUCCUGUAGCUUAACUGUGGGAAUUGCUGGAGAUACUAUUAGACUUGAGACCGGGAGAGGUUAGAGGUACUCCCAGGGUAGAGGUGAAAUUCUGUAAUCCUGGGAGGACCGCCUGUUGCGAAGGCGUCUAACUGGAACGGUUCUGACGGUGAGGGACGAAAGUUAGGGGCGCGAACCGGAUUAGAUACCCGGGUAGUCCUAACUGUAAACGAUGCGGACUUGGUGUUGGGGUGGCUUUGAGCUGCUUCAGUGCCGAAGGGAAGCUGUUAAGUCCGCCGCCUGGGAAGUACGGUCGCAAGACUGAAACUUAAAGGAAUUGGCGGGGGAG